rnacentral:lncRNA from 1 species
UAAUCCCUCUACUUCUCUCUAGAUCUGUUUCUCCUCUAGUCUAGUUCAGCGGUGCUUAGGCAAAGCCCUGCUGGAUUAAUUCACCACCACCACCACCAUGCCGCCGUGUUGAAGAACUCAUCUACCUCUCCAUCCCUCUUGCUGGAUCAAGAAGGUGGGGAUCGUCAUCGAGCUGGACGUGUGCUGAACGAGGAGGUGUCGUCCGUUUGGUGCUAGAUGGGGAUGGAUCGUGAUGGGAUCACGAGACGGAUCAUGAUGAGAUCGUGGGACGGGCUGCGAUUUGGAUCGCGAAGAUGUUCCACUACAUCAACCGCGUUAUAUACGAUUCCGCUUAGCGAUCUACAAGGGCAUGUAGAUUCACUCUCCCCUCUCGUAGAUGAUCCUCACCAUGGAUAGGUAUUGCGUGUGCGUAGGAAAUUUUUUGUUUAACAUGCAACGUUCCCCAACAUGCUAACAACCCACAACAGCGGAACUGAUGAACCAUAGAAUCAAGCUCAUACUUCCUAUUCUUAGCUAGCACAUUAAUCAUGACCUUGCAUGCACAGGAUGUGCGUCACAUUGUGCUGAUGCGCAGUAUUGAUGACAAAGUCCAUGACGAAACCAUACCUAGAAUGAUGGUGUCACGAUACGUUAGUAGUGCGGAGAGGGGAAGGUGAUGAUGGAAAUUAAAGGCCAAAGAUGCGGAACAUGGAGAAAAAGGAGGAAACACGCUUGGUCGGUCGCCUGGCUUGCCGUGUUUUUU